GCCAAGGAGAGGGUGAGAGAAGGAGAGUGUGAGUAGGAGAAAGUAGAAAAGAAGAGUAACAAAAAAAAAAAAAAAAAAAUGAAAAUGUGCUUUCUUGAUUCAAGGUAAGGAUGCGGUUUACGAUGGUGAAGGUUAUCCUGAAAGCAAUCAAGAUAAAGUGUUGGAGCCGUGGUUCACUUGAAGAUUUAGAUUAGUAGUUUUGUUUUGUUUUUUGUUUUUGUUUUUUUUGUUUUUUUUUUUUGACUUUUGAUUUGACAGUGUUUUGUAAUCAUAUAGCAGAACACAAAUGAAUUAUCUAUGCUAUUAACUCUGCUUAUUUGUGUCUAUUAAAAUAUUUUCGAUUUUGAA